GAGAGUUUGUGACUUCACAGUAGCUGAGGAUGCCUGAGGCCUGGGGCUCCUCCUUGAAGGAGGAGUCAAGGCUGAGUCAAGACGCAGCGUUCCAAGAAGGGCCAAGGAUAGAAGAAGUCAGCAGCUGGGUCACUGAGGCCUGUGACUGCUCCAGCCUCCGUCCCUGAGCACAAAUGGCUCUCCUGCUGAGUGCUAUGAUGUACCUGACCAUCCUCCUCCUCUGCUUCUUUCUGCUCAUCUGUUACUGCGCCUGAGGUCAGGGACUGAAACCUAAUGGGAGCCGUGGCACAGCAUCCACGGCCACUCAGCGGUUUCUAAACUGCCCCGGAAACUACUAGCACAUAACGUUGUGCAGACUGGGCACUGGGCACAUUGGCGUCACAGUGCACAGCUGAGAAGCACAGGUGUUGGGAGUGCUUGACGGGGCUGAAGCCACAAACACGUAUGACUACAAGGAGACACUUUUCCAGGAAGCACCCCCUGGAGCAGCAGAGAGACCCGAUGCUACAUCAUCCAAUGCUUAAAGGGCAGGUCCUUCUCAUAAAGCCUCCUGGCCUGCUAGGCGAGUCACCUCGGCUCUGCGCUCUCGGCCGCCUCCAAGGCCUCCAAGUCACCUUUAAUCAUGAAAACCCAGGAGCCGGGAAGCUAGGACGCGGGCUUGAUCCUCCCACACCUGCGAGCUAUGGAUCUUCUGGAGUACACGAAAGGAGAUAUCGCUGGGUCCUCAGACUGUUGACGCGUCCUUCCAAGGAACUGAUAAGCCCAGGCCCCUAGGACGGGAUGCUAGGACUCCAGUGUGGGGCCUUGCUGUGAACCCCUUCCCAAGUGUUUGCUUCCCUGAUGGGCCUUUGCCAAAAGGCCCUCUUGACACCGAAAAGGAUGACGACUCAGGUUCUGCGGCAGCCAAUGCCCCUCCCCCAACUCUCUGCACUCACUGGUGGGGGCCACGGUCAAGGAAGCAAGUAUCCCGAAUUGACAGCUUGGUGCAGAGGGGACAUGCGAGGUGUCUCUAUCCUGAGAGGAAGCAGCUGGACCCUGGCGCUCCCAAGGAGCGUACUCCCCAGUGUGGAAAAACAAGAGAACGUGACUGUCUCAUGGUGAGCGCCUGCUGGGGCCUUAUCCAGGCUAUGGCGGUCUCCGUGGGCGUCCAGGGAGAGCAAGGAUGCUGACAUGGAACGUGCCUCCAGAGCUCGUUGCCAUCGGCUCGCCAGCCAGGAACACCUUUUUACUUUGGCCGCCUGGACUCCGAGGGAAUUCUGCCGGGGCUCCUGGAGGAUGCCCAGCCAGGAUUGUUCAGGGCUGUCAUUGUCUCAGUCUCUUUGCCUCAUUGUCUUAGUCACGUUGCUUCAUUGUUAUUGUCUCCGUCUGUCCAAUCGCGUACUCACAGCCUUAGCAAAAUAAGCAAUUUUAUCUUGUCUUUUACAUACAAAAAAAAAAAAUGGAGAUUUUCUUACUUCAAGCCUUUCAGGCAUCGAGAGACCUAACCCCACCCAGAUUCCUUUGUAUUUAUGGUUACUAAAACGUCAUGUCUUAAAUCUGUAUCUUUGGACAACAGAAAAAAUAGUUUUAAAUAGCAAUGUGAUCAAACUUAACAUGGAUUUUUAAAAAAAAAAAAGUAGGGACAAAUUGGAACCGAGAAAAAAAUAUUUCUCCUGGAUAAUAUGGUGGCCAAGGACUGAAAAGCUGAAGUAUAGUCAAUAGGAGUUAGAUUAUUUGAAAGUUUUCACAUAAAAUUAUUUUGGGUACAGUCUGAGAAUAUGUGGAAUGUAGUAAGAACUAGAACUUUCCAGAAAGUUCUUCUUCCGUGGAAAUGUUAUACUUUGAUGCUGUUCACAUGUUUGUUUUGCUUGCAGUAUCAGCCGGACAUGUUCCUUCAUGCUCUUGUGGGACAACCUAGUUGUUUCCCACUUCAGGAUGUUCUGUGAUGGUUCCUCAGGUACUUUUGAAUCUCUUGUUAGGAGAGUCUUCUUUUUUUUUUUUUUUUUGGUUCUUUUUUUUGGAGCUGGGGACCGAACCCAGGGCCUUGCGCUUCCUAGGCAAGCGCUCUACCACUGAGCUAAAUCCCCAACCCCAGGAGAGUCUUCUUGAACUCAGAAUUCAAAUUGCCCUAAAUUUUAAAGAUCCCAAAUCGUACAUAAAUAGCCUUAGGUUUAAAUCUUUAAAAGUUAAUGUGAAUUAGGUAGGUCUUGCUUGUGGUUUAGUUUUGUUCUUGCCCUUGGUCUGAUUGUAAAAGAACAGACUCUUGACAAGGGAAGAAGUUAGCGGAGCCUCAAGAGCCCUGCUCUCUGUUCAAGAUUUAUGCUACACAGUAUUCCAAGCUUCUAGUGCAUAUUAGUAGUGAGUGAUUCUCACAUCAGUGUGACAUCUAAAACUAGAGCUUUUUAAGAUUUAUUUAUUUUAUUUAUGUGAGUACACUGUAGCUGUCCAGACACACCAGAAGAGGGCAUCAGAUCCCAUUACAGGUGGUUGUGAGCCACUAUGUUGUUUGCUGGGAUUUGAACUCAGGACCUCUGGAAGAGCAGUCAGUGCUCUUAAUCGCUGAGCCAUCUCUCCAGCCCCCUAUACAUUUCUUUCUAGGACUCCCACUACAACUAAAAACUGAUAAUGGACCUGCUUAUACUUGCAAUUGUUUUAACUUUUUUUUUUGAAGUUUAUGGAAUAUUAAUCAUGUUACUGAGUUCCCUUACAAUUGACAGUGUCAAACUAUUGUAAAACAACACAAUCAAAGACUUAAAUUACAAAUUUGAAUUCCCACAUCCUAUGCCUAUACAUUUAGCUAUGCUAACUUUAAAUUUUUUUCACUUUAAAAGAUAGUGGCUUUUUCUGCUCCCAAAAACAUUUUAUCCAAAGAAGACACUACCUAAAGUGUGUGUGUGUGCGUGCGUGCGUGCGUGCGUGCGUGCGUGCGUGUGUGUGUGUGUGUGUGUGUGUUUAAAAAACCUUUAAAACUAAUCAAUGGAAAGUGCCCGAUGUCCUACCAUCGAGGCGAGGUUAUGCUUAUGUCUUACAGAAAAGUAAAUGAAGUCCCAGAUGGCUACUGCUCUGUGACACUUUGGACAAGGACAGCAUCCCAGAGACCACCAGAUCAGCAAGGGGGUCUAAGCUAGAUUACAAGCCCAUCAAGAGGGGACGUCCCAAGAGGAGGAGGAAGCCAGUAUCUCGGGGAGACUUUAACUGGUCAAGCCAAGACCUUGGGGAAACAACAAGGACAUAAUUCUGCUGACCCCCAAAUGAUGGUGUUACGUUUACUGACUGUAUUACAUGUUGAUUCUCAGCCUGUCAGUGCAGAAUCCAAAUGCCUUAUGUCAGGGGGGAUAAAGGGCGCACCUGUAAUAGGACAAAGUAUGAAGUUGUCUUGCUGUGCUAAUAAUCAUUUUGAUCCUCUGGGACCGACCAGUUGUCUGGACAAAAGAUAGUAUACAAAUAUUUAGACACAAGAAUGGGUGGCAUUAUGGGUAGACUAACUGAGCAGUUCAAAUGUAAUAAUACAGGUUUUAGGGGUUGGGGAUUUAGCUCAGUGGUAGAGCGCUUGCCUAGGAAGCGCAAGGCCCUGGGUUCGGUCCCCAGCUCCGAAAAAAAGAACCAAAAAAAAAAAAUAAUACAGGUUUUAGCUGAAGGCAGUACUCUAGAAAGCUUUGAUGGUGAAAGGAAUAUGUGAUAUAUUGCUUACUAAACUUGAACUGACACCAGGUACUGAGUAGUGUGGAAUCGGACUGCCUUCUUGUCUCCUGUGAAUCAUUAGUCUGUUGGCCUUGGUGGAGGAAAUAUGCCCCUGAAGGAGGGCUUUGAGAGUUAAAAGCCUCGCCUGGCUUCCCGAUUAGUUCCUGCUCUAUACUUGAUCUUCAAGGUGUGAUUUCUCAGUUUCAUAUCCCUGCCACCAUGCCUGCUGUGUGCUCUCAUCCUUCCUGCCGUAAUGGACUCAUCUCUGUUCUGGAACCACGAGCCAAAAUAAACACUUGUCUUCCUUAAGUUGCCUUUGGUCACGUGUUCUAUCACCACCGAAAAGUACCUAAGACAGGCGGUGAAAGACUGUCAGAGAGCAGAGUG
rnacentral:lncRNA from 1 species